AUACAGAGGUGGCGAACGUUGUUCGGAUUUACUGGGCGUAAAGGGUCCGCAGGCGGUCCGGUGUGUCGGAUGUGAAAGCUCACAGCUCAACUGUGGAAUUGCAUUCGAAACUGCCGGUCUAGAGUACUGGAGGGGUGAAGGGAACACUUGGUGUAGCGGUGAAAUGCGUAGAUAUCAAGUGGAACACCGGAGGCGAAGGCGCUUCACUGGACAGAUACUGACGCUCAUGGACGAAAGCUAGGGUAGCGAAAGGGAUUAGAUACCCCUGUAGUCCUAGCCGUAAACGGUGUGCACUAGACGUGGGUGGAUUUACCCCCAUCCGUGUCUGAGCUAACGCAUUAAGUGCACCGCCUGGGGAGUACGGUCGCAAGAUUAAA
rnacentral:rRNA from 1 species